GAUGAAGAACGCAGCGAAAUGCGAUACGUAAUGUGAAUUGCAGAAUUCAGUGAAUCAUCGAAUCUUUGAACGCAUGUUGCGCUCUCUGGUAUUCCGGAGAGCAUGCUUGUUUGAGUAUCAGUAAACACCUCAACUCCCUUUUCUUUUUUGAAAUUGGAGCUGGACUUGAGUGAUCCCAACGCUUUCUUCCAAGAAAGUGGCGGGUUGCUUGAAAUGCAGGUGCAGCUGAACUUUUCUCUGAGCUAUAAGCAUAUCUAUUUAGUCUGCCUAAAAAACAGAUUAUUACCUUUGCUGCAGCUAACAUAAAGGAGACUAGUUCUUGUGCUGACUGAUGCAGGAUUCACAGAGACAGCUUCGGCUGACUUUGUAAACUCGAUCUCAAAUCAAGUAAGACUACCCGCUGAACUUAAGCAUAUCAAUAAGCGGAGGA
rnacentral:misc_RNA from 1 species